UUAAAAUGUCAAAUCGUUGACGUUAACCAUUAAUCCCAAAAGCUCGAGCUGUUAAAAAGAUGCAAUCAAUUUAUUUAAAGCGUAGAAACACGGCGCCUACAAGUCUCGAUUGUAACUCGACCUAACCAGUCUUACGCCACUUGGAACAUGAUAUGCAAAAAUCGAACCCGUGAUCUCUGGCUUCAAUACCACUUGUUGGAUUGUUAGCGCUCACCAUUAAUCCCAAAAGCUCGAGCUAUUAGAAAUAUACAACUAAUUUAUUUAAAGUGUAUAGACACAAUGCCUACAGGUCUCGAUUGUGACUCGGCCUAACCAUCCUUAUGCCACUUCGAAUAUGACUCAGUCCAAAAUAGCCUCACGCCACUACGAACGUGACUCGGCCCAAUCUGGCCUUCCACCACAAGGUAGAAUGUUAGCCCCUUUAAGCCAAACAAAUUCAUAAACGUCACAUUUCGAAUCUACGAAAAUUGUUCAAUACGUUGAAUCCACGAAAACCCUUAAUAAGGAGUUGUUAAAGUAAUGGUUGAAGGCCGAGUUAUUGCUUUAGAUGUGGAUAGUUGAUUGAAAAAAAAAAAAAAGAAAAAAAAAAGAGUAAUAAGGAGUUAUAGGGAUGUAUUUCUCUCUCUCUCUCCGUCUUUUACUAGGCCCAAUCAUUAAUAUCACUAGUGAAGGCCUACGCUUCGCGGCGGGACAUUUAUGUAAAUUUUAAAAUAUUGUGAAUAAUUUUUUUUUAAUUUUAUAAUAUNACGCUCGCCCCGCCCCCCUCGCGAUGCUACGGCAACAAACGCGCGCCCGAACGGCUCCGCGACACGGCGUCGACGACGAAACACUCUACCCGAGCUCCUCCACGAUCGGUUUAGCUAGAGAGAGAGAGGAGAAGAAGAAGCCGGAAGAACACUCCCUCUCAACCUCUCUACACCUGUAAAUAGCAAAGGGGUGGAGUGGUGACACGAACAAGGUGAGAAAAGACCCAAUUGCCCUCUCACUUACCCUGGCGUACCGGUACACGGGCUCGCGUACCGGUACAAGAAGCCAACCCGAGAGCAGUCUGCGCGCAGUCUGUGCAGUGUACCGGUACACCCUGCUGGCUGUAUCGGUACAGCAAGCAGAGAAAUCUGCUAUUUGCAGAUUUUCUUGCUAAAUGCUGCUCUCGCGUCGCAUAGAGUCCGUUUUGCGUCUAUUUCACGCCAACGCGACUCAGACUUGCCCCGACACUCUCCAGAGCUGUCGACAAGUCUUAACAGCAAAACACCAAGGAUCUCACAUGAUCGAAGGGAUUCAAAAUCAAUAAUAUUUAAUGGUUGAUGUAUGGCGUUGGUAAGUUUAACGGUGUAGAAGUAUUUAAAUCAGAUAAAAUUUUAAUCAAAAAAUUUUUAUACUAUCUACAACAAGAUUAAUAUCUGUAAUCGAAAAUUUUAGUGCUAUAUCAUAACUUUUUGUGAGAUUUUUAUUUUCAGCCGUUGAUUUGAGUACUUUCGAUCACUAGAUAAAUAAUAUUGAAAAAUCAAAAAAUUUAUUUUUUAGAUAGUUCAAAUACGCUAGAUCAAGUUUAAAAGAGCUGAUCAUUGAUUCACAAGUUAUAUCAUCAAAAACAGUUUAGGAGUAUGAAGGCCUCCAUGCUUCUAAUAACAUACAAGACCUACUCCACCAAGUACAGGGAAUUAUUUCUCCAUUAAUCUUUCUCGAUUACUACAUCCGUGAAUUAUUGUAUGCGCCACAUGUAUGUAGAUUAUGAACCCUAGGAUAUAAUAAAUUAAUUGUAGGAACACCUAAAGAGGAGUGAUACAGCCAAAAUUAUAAAUACUUAGUAAAUAAAAAUAAAAGUAAAAUAAUAAAAAGUAUACAGAGAUUUAAUAUGGAAAAACCUCCAACUUGGAGCAAAAACCUAUUGAACCAUUCAAGCAAUAACAAUCCACAAUGAAGAAAAGAUUGCCAAAUGAUUAUCAACUCCACAAACGCAAACCUUUUUAUUAAUUUUAACGAGCUUGCAACUCCACCUACUGGUCCACGUUUAAAAUGUCAAAUCGUUGACAUUAACCAUUAAUCCCAAAAACUCGAGCUGUUAAAAAGAUGCAAUCAAUUUAUUUAAAGCGUAGAAACACGGCGCCUACAGGUCUCGAUUGUAACUCGGCCUAACCAGUCUUACGCUACUUGGAACAUGAUAUGCAAAAAAUCGAACCCGUGAUCUCUGGCUCCAAUACCACUUGUUGGAUUGUUAGCGCUCACCAUUAAUCCCAAAAGCUCGAGCUAUUAGAAAUAUACAACUAAUUUAUUUAAAGUGUAUAGACACAAUGCCUACAGGUCUCGAUUGUGACUCGGCCUAACCAUCCUUAUGCCACUUCGAAUAUGACUCAGUCCAAAAUAGCCUCACGCCACUACGAACGUGACUCGGCCCAAUCUGGCCUUCCACCACAAGAUAGAAUGUUAGCCCCUUUAAGCCAAACAAAUUCAUAAACGUCACAUU
rnacentral:lncRNA from 1 species